rnacentral:rRNA from 1 species
ACGGAGGGGGCUAGCGUUGUUCGGAAUUACUGGGCGUAAAGCGCGCGUAGGCGGCCAUUUAAGUCAGAGGUGAAAGCCCGGUGCUCAACAUCGGAAUUGCCUUUGAGACUGGGUGGCUAGAAUCCAGGAGAGGUGAGUGGAAUUCCGAGUGUAGAGGUGAAAUUCGUAGAUAUUCGGAAGAACACCAGUGGCGAAGGCGGCUCACUGGACUGGUAUUGACGCUGAGGUGCGAAAGCGUGGGGAGCAAACAGGA